rnacentral:rRNA from 1 species
AGAAUCAACGCUGGCGGCGUGCCUAACACAUGCAAGUCGAACGCGAAAGCCCCGCAAGGGGCAAGUAGAGUGGCAAACGGGUGAGUAACACGUGGGUGACCUGCCUUCGAGCGGGGGAUAACGGUCCCGAAAGGGACGCUAAUACCGCAUAAUAUCCUGCCUUUGAAGAGGUGGAGAUCAAAGCUGGGGAUCGUAAGACCCGGCACUUGAAGAGGGGCCCGCGCCUGAUUAGCUAGUCGGUGGGGUAAUGGCCUACCAAGGCAACGAUCAGUA